AGAUCUUGGUGGUAGUAGCAAAUACUCAAAUGAGAACUUUGAGGACUGAAGUGGGGAAAGGUUCCGUGUGAACAGCAGUUGGACACGGGUUAGUCGAUCCUAAGAGAUAGGGUAAUUCCGUUUUAAUGUAGGCGCUUGCGCCUCGCCCUCGAAAGGGAAGCCGGUUAACAUUCCGGCACCUAGAUGUGGAUUCUCCACGGCAACGUAACUGAAAGCGAAGACGUCGGCGGGGGCCCUGGGAA
rnacentral:rRNA from 1 species